rnacentral:rRNA from 1 species
AACGUAGGAGGCGAGCGUUGUCCGGAAUUACUGGGCGUAAAGGGCGUGUAGGCGGUCGGUCAAGUUAGCUGUGAAAUCUCCUGGCUCAACUGGGAGGGGGCGGUUAAUACUGGCUGGCUAGAGUGCAGCAGAGGGAAGUGGAAUUCCCGGUGUAGUGGUGAUAUGCGUAGAUAUCGGGAGGAACACCAGUGGCGAAGGCGGCUUCCUGGGCUGCAACUGACGCUGAGGCGCGAAAGCGUGGGGAGCGAACCGGAUUAGAUACCCGCGUA